rnacentral:tRNA from 1 species
GAGGUUUUAGCUUAAUUAAAGUGUCUGUUUUGCAUGCAGGUGAUGCGGGAUAAUCCCCCGUAAAUCUUA